AUAUGUUGGAUCGCAAGUGACAUGGAGCGUGUUGAGAAGACCACGAACGAUCUCGAAAACCCAGUACCGGCUUUUGAUGAAUGCCCUCAAUGGUGAUAACAACAGAUCGAUACAAGGCUUGUUU